GUCUCACAGAUGUACUCUGCACGUACUUUUUAAAAAAUGACUCAUAGCAUUUAUAAAAUACGAAACUACAUUCUGUGAUCGGGUAAAUAUAUAGAUAGGUAACCAGGCUGGGCUGUUUCAAUAAAUCACAACUUUAAGCCUGGUAGCUUCACGGCGGCGCUCGGCUAGUCACGCGCACUGACGCACACGCAGCUCGCCAAACUCCAUUCAAAAAUCAAGCCAUUUAACUGUUGUGCCCUAAUCCACUUUUUAAAAAACCCAAUUCAACAUUUUUAAUAGAGUUUGGUGCGAGGUGCAAACCGCAGUAUAUUCAACAUUUUAGUGGCUAUCAACUACGUUCUAUGUAUAAAAACAAAUGCCUGACAUACUUUAACACAGAGUAAGACAAGUUAUAAAUAAUAACUUAAUGUAAAGUAAAUAGCCUCUAAUAUAAUCUUGUGUUACUCACCUGCCUGACUACAGCAGAGUGCAGUCACACCAGCCUAUGAAUUUUUCUCUGUGGCACCUCGGCUUCAAAUGAUUUUUCUGAUUACAAGUAAUAAGCAUAAAUGUCUCACUCCAGAUGCAGUUAAAUAAAGUGAUAUGUUCUCUAUCUGGAAAACCUCAGAUCUGAGAGCCAUGGCAUCCACGCGUAAUCUCACCCUUCAUAUUACCAUCACAUGAGGGGAGUGUGACAGGCUCUGGUUAAUCCCAGUGAGAGAAAUGUUCAGUCACAUUUUUUCAACACGUCAUGAACGUUAGAGUGAAUGGGCAUGAAGUCUGCCCUCAUUAAACCCUGUAGCAAAGAAGAAAUGCUAAAGUGGCAGUAAAACUGAGUUGGUUCUUCACCAGGGUUGGCAAAUAGGGCCCUCUGCAUUACCAUUUUUAUUCACAAUUAUUUUACUGAGGGAUACGUGUAAGAUAAUUUGCUUACAUAUCACAUGUGUUCAGCUUUGACAGUGUGCAGGACAUACAGCACAGUCAUUUUAGUUGUUAUUGAAAGCAAGUUUAUUAAAGGAAUAGUUUGCCUUUUUGGUAAAAAUGCUUAUUUUCUGAUUAAAUUUUGGUUUUGAUAUCACGUCAGUGCGUUAUAUAUAGUUCUGGAAAUUCAGAAAUACAACUGAUUUGGUUUUUUUUUUGUUUUUUUGUCUUUUGUCCAUCUUUAAGUUCAAGCAGUAGUCAACAGCGACUGGCUCUCACCCCAAAAAGUCAGCACAGCUCAGGUCAAAGUUCAACAUAUCUGAACUUUCUGUGCAUCCACGAAAAUGGAGAAGAUGCACGCAAAAGGACAGGUUGCACUGUGCUCCAUGAGGAAUGGUAUUUCCUAACGUUUCCCUGCAUCUAUGUCAUGAAAAUGACAAUAAAAGCUGAACUGAACAAAGCAUCCAGAGGAAGCACAAUGUGAAGCCUCUACAAGCAAGUCUUAUAUGCAGUUUAAAAAUUCAUUUAUUGAAAACAAAAAGGGUUAUAAUCUGUGCCCAAGUUUGUUGACAUGUAUUGGCUGUAUCAUAAUAAUAA